CCUAUCGCUUUGCGAUCGCAUACAAGAGUGAGCCAUCUUUUGACGAUGGUAGGAUAAUUAUUGACCUGAGGAAUAAUAUGGAUUUAUGUGGUUGUGGUGGACUUUGUGUUUGUGAUUGUGAAAAUGUGAGUGUGUGUCUGUGUAUGUGUGCGCGCGGGCGCGCGCGCUUUCCUGAACCAGGGAUCCCACUUGACAAGUUGACCUUGUCUAGAGGAGCAUUAGUGGAAAAAAACAGGGUAGCCCUGAGACAAUAGGAUGCCGUCACGACCAAUGAGACUGGCCUGCAGGGGGCGCAAGGAUUCACUUCUCUCUUGGACACUGGCGGGUGUAGACACGGUAAUUAUGAUCCUGGCGUUGGCCGUCAGUGGAAGAGCGUAGCUUAGGUGGGGUUCUGUCUGCCUCUGAUGGGGUGUGGAUGUAUGGUUCGUCACUGGUGAAUGGUGUUCGACGAUGCAGGUGGAUUUUGUGACGAGCGGAUUUACAAUGAGGGAAUGCUGUGAACAGGAAAAAUGAUGAGCUGUCCUAACUUGCCCAGACAUGCCGUGAUGACGUCACAGCUGACGUCACAGGAUGUCCGGAACUGGUGGUCAUAGCUGCGAUGCUUUGCAACCUGCCUCUGUGCUCCGUCGCCCAGCGACGGUCAGCGGCCUUUCCGGACCGCUUUCUUCAAGAUGGCGCCGUGGAUCUUCAAUUAAACUCCUUCUCUCCACUCUAUUUCUAUCUAUUUUUUUAUUUUUUAUGGACUCUCAUAGUGCACAACGCUCAGCUGGUCUGGACACGAGUUAGACUUUCCCCAAUUAGUGUGGUGGCUCCCUGGAGGGUGCUGAUUAAUGUGGGGGGUCCCAAUUAGCUCUAAUUGCUAAUUAAAUCGUGUUCAGGCCAGUUGGGCGUUGUGCACUGUGAGAGUCCAGUACC